GCUCGGGCUCGGCGCGGACCCGCCCGGGCGCACUCCUUCCGCUGGCGUCCGGCGUCCUGCCGCCCUGCGCGGAGCCGGCCAGCGGUCUCCGCCACCCCUGAGGGCGCUCCCGGCCCCCAGCGCGGAGGCUCGCGGGCGGAGGUCGCAACGAGAGGCUGGACCGCGGUGGCGCGCGGCUCGCCUUCCCGCAGGUGUUCCUUUGAUACAGCGGAAGGUGCCUCUGCUCUUCUGCCUGAGAGUGGUUCAAAAUGUCCUUCUGGAGUGCAACCUGCUCACCUGAACUUCCCACCGAUUCCGAAUGAAGAAGGAGGCAGGACAUCUCUUUUUGUCUCCAGAACAAAGAUGCAGAGUCUCAGCAGUACCAACAGGUUGCACUCAGAUACAGCAGUCCAUCGCAAGGAGGAGCUUCGCCUCUGCGAGAUUAAUCACGAGCCGGGACCACGCGUCUGGCUGGGAUGCGUGAUUGAUCCUGCCGGAGGAAAUGCAGUGGGAAGCUAAUGCUGCCUUUUAUCCAGGAAGCAAAGUUCAGAGAUGUUUGCAUUCUGCUAGGUAAGCAUGGCUUUCUCGACACCCAGGCUAGACGGACUGCCCUCUCAGCAGGAAUUCUCGCCAAGGCAACACACAGGUGUGCCUCAGUGGACUGCCUGAGCCACAGAGGCUAGAGGGUCAGAAUGGCUCCUUUGGCAAAUAGCUUGAUUCCAUCAUAUUUUAAUUCCUAUGAAGUAUCGUAAACCCAUUGUAUUCAAGAGACUGCCAAAUGAAAACUGGACUAAGACCUGUGUAGUA
rnacentral:lncRNA from 1 species